AGAGUUUGAUCCUGGUUUAGAAUGAACGCUGGCGGCGUGCUUAACACAUGCAAGUUGAAUGAGAAAGCUCCUUUGGGAGCAAGUAUAGUGGCGAACGGGUGAGUAACGCGUGAGAAUUUGCCCUUUAGUGAGGAAUAUCCUCGAGAAAUUGAGGUUAAUACCGUAUAAGCUAGUUUCUAUUUUUAUAGAAAUUGGGAAAGACGGCUUUUUGCUGUCGCUGAAGGAUGAGCUUGCGUAGUAUUAGUUAGUUGGUGGGGUAAAGGUUUACUAAGGUGAUGAUGCUUAGCCGACCUGAGAGGGUGAUUGGCCACAUUGGGAUUGAGAUAUGGCCCAGACUCCUAUGGGAGGUAGUAGUGGGGAAUAUUGUACAAUGGGGGAAACCCUGAUGCAGCGACGCCGCGUGGAGGAUGAAGGUUUUUGGAUCGUAAACUCCUGUUGAGAAGGAAGAAAAGCUUUUGGUUAAUAUUUAAAAGUUUUGAUGGUACUUCUUAAGAAAGCCCCGGUUAAUUUUGUGCCAGUAGUUGUGGUAAUAUGAGGGGGGCAAGCGUUAUUCGGAAUUACUGGGCGUAAAGAGCGUGAAUGGUGGUAUAGUAAGUUAGUUGUUAAAGAUCACGGUUUAUUUGUGAAAGUGUGAUUGAAACUGUUAAGUUAGAGGGCAGGAGAGAGAAGUGGAAUUCUCGGAGUAGUGGUUAAAUGUGUAGAUUUCGAGAGGAACACUGAUUGCGAAGGCAGUUUCUUGGCCUGUUCCUGACACUCAAACGCGAAAGCGUGGGGAGUAAACAGGAUUAGAUAUCUUGGUAGUCCACGCAGUAAAUGAUGAUCACUAGAUGUAGGUUGGGUUUAACCCGAUCUGUGUCGAAGUUAAUGUGUUAAGUGAUCCGCCUGGGGAUUACGAUCGUAAGGUUAAAACUCAAAGGAAUUGAUGGGGGUCCGCACAAGCGGUGGAACAUGUGGUUUAAUUCGAUAUUAUGCGAGGAACCUUACCUAGGUUUGUAUGUAACUGCUAGCUGCAGAAAUGCAGUGUUUUGGGUUUAUUUAGAUGGUUACACAGGUGCUGCAUGGCUGUCGUCAGCUCGUGUUGUGAGAUGUUAGGUUAAGUUUUUUAAUGAGUGUAACCCCUAUCGUUAGUUGUAAGCCCUUUGGGGUGUAUUCUAGCGAAACUGCCUGGGAAACCAGGAGGAAGGUGGGGAUGAGGUCAAGUCAUCAUGGUCCUUAUGCCUAGGGUUAUAUACGUGUUACAAUGGCGAGUAUAAAGGGUUGCAAUCCGGUGACGGUGAGCUAAUCUUAUAAAACUCGUCUAAGUUCGGAUUGAAGUCUGUAAUUUGACUUCAUGAAGUUGAAAUCGCUAGUAAUCGCGUAUUAGAAUGACGCGGUGAAUACGUUCUCGGACCUUGUAUAUACUGCUUGUUACACCACGAAAAUCGUUUCUACCUAAAGUUGUCUUAGCUGACUGUAAGGAGGCGGACACCUAAGGUAGGGGGGGUAAUUGGGGUGAAGUUGUAACAAGGUA
rnacentral:rRNA from 1 species